rnacentral:lncRNA from 1 species
CAUUGCUAGAUGGUCACUUCGAUUGGUACAAGAAUUUAUUCUUAUGCUACCCACUUAAGUUCGAGCCUAUGAGAUCACAUACAUUAGAGUUUAUGAUCCGAUCGGAUGGUUGAUCAAUGAUUAAGAAUCGUUCUAGGGUUAAACGAUCAAUACGGUUGACAUUUAACCUAGUACAAGUGUUGCAGGAGGAUCGAUUAGCAAUUUGAUUGCUAAUUGACUUAAUUUGAUUAAGUCAAUGGGCUGAGAUUAAGUCUAAUUGAAU